AUGGGACCCGCAGGCCGGCUGUCCGUGGCGGCCGCUCUCCUCUCCUGCCUAUGUUUACAUGGGCUGUUGGGGAAUUCCGGGCAGGCAUUUGCUCAGGGCCCGCCGGUGCUCCACCGGAUCGACCACGCCGAGGAAGAUGACGACAGCGGCGGCCUCAUGCCGGAGCUCUCGCCCACCGGCUCCCCCCAGCCCUUCGUCCCCUUCCUCGCGCCUGCCCCUCUCGCGCCCUUCUACAACAACUCUACGCCCAAGUUGUCAGGCAAAUGCUCACUGAACUUCACUGCCAUCAAUGGCCUGAUGACCACCACGGCCGUCGAUUGCUUCGCCUCAUUCGCUCCGUUCCUCGCCAAUGUCAUCUGCUGUCCCCAGCUCCAGGCCACUCUCACCAUCCUCAUAGGACAGUCCAGCAAGCAGACGGGGUCCCUCGCUUUGGAUCCCACUCUUGCCAACUACUGUCUCUCUGACGUCCAGCAGCUGCUCAUGAGCCAGGGCGCGAGUGAUGAUCUCCGCAGCAUUUGCUCCGUCCACCUCUCCAAUGCCACCGAGGGGUCGUGCCCCGUUAGCACCGUUGAUGCGUUUGAGAGCGUCGUCGACUCAUCAAAGCUCCUCGAGGCCUGCCGGAAGGUCGAUCCUGUUAACGAGUGCUGCAGCCAGACAUGCCAGAGUGCUAUAAGUGAUGCUGCCCGCAAAAUCUCUUCCAAGGACGCUGCGUUGACAAGCGACACUGCCAGUCCCAAAGUUGACAGUUGCAGGAACGUUGUACUUAGAUGGUUAUCCAGCAGGCUUGAGCCAUCAUCCGCAACCAAAAUGCUCAGGCAGAUAUCAAACUGUAAUGUCAAUGGAGUUUGCCCACUAAGCUUCCCAGACACAAGUAAGGUUGCAAAGGAGUGUGGUGGUACAGUUAAAAACAUUACUGUAUGCUGCAAGGCGAUGGACAGUUACGUAUCUCACUUGCAAAAGCAAAGUUUCAUAACAAAUUUGCAAGCUUUGAAUUGUGCCUCAGUCCUUGGGGCAAAAUUACAAGAUAUGAAGGUCAGCACAAAUGUUUAUAGCUCAUGCCAAGUAACAUUGAAGGAUUUCUCACUUCAAGUUGGAUCUCAAGAAUCUGGAUGCCUUCUUCCAACAUCGGCUUCGACAUGCAAUAAAUCGGCUGCUCCUGGACCUAUAAUCCCAGAGAGGCCUGCAGCAACAUCGGCGCAAAACGGUGUCAACCACAACAGACUGGAGCUUAGCCUAGCCGUCUGCUUUGGCGCCCUUGUGGCCACUAUUUUACUGCAAGUCUAG
rnacentral:rRNA from 1 species